AAUCCUACAAUAAAAUAAUACAUUAAAUAAAGAAACUUUCCUACUUUUCUUCCAGGUGUAAAUCCCUCACCAUGUCUGACACUGAGGAAGUUGAUCAGAUCGAGGAGGAGGUAGUAGAAGUAGAGGUAGCCCCGCAGG